AGUGAACGCUGGCGGUAGGCCUAACACAUGCAAGUCGAACGGCAGCACAGUAAGAGCUUGCCCUUACGGGUGGCGAGUGGCGGACGGGUGAGGAAUACAUCGGAAUCUACUUUUUCGUGGGGGAUAUCGUAGGGAAACUUACGCUACUACCGCAUAUGACCUACGGGUGAAAGCAGGGGAUCUUCGGACCUUGCGCGUUUGAAUGAGCCGAUGUCGGAUUAGCUAGUUGGCGGGGUAAAGGCCCACCAAGGCGACGAUCCGUAGCUGGUCUGAGAGGAUGAUCAGCCACACUGGAACUGAGACACGGUCCAGACUCCUACGGGAGGCAGCAGUGGGGAAUAUUGGACAAUGGGCGCAAGCCUGAUCCAGCCAUACCGCGUGGGUGAAGAAGGCCUUCGGGUUGUAAAGCCCUUUUGUUAGGAAAGAAAAGCAGCAGGUUAAUACCCCGCUGUUCUGACGGUACCCAAAGAAUAAGCACCGGCUAACUUCGUG
rnacentral:rRNA from 1 species